rnacentral:lncRNA from 1 species
CUCCAGGUGCUGCAGGAGGAUCCAGGGCCUCUGGAGGGAUCCAGGGGCUGCAGGAGGAUCCGGGUGCCACGGGGGGCUCUGGGGGGCUCCAGCAGCUCCGGGGGCUCCCGGGAUCCCACAGCACCUAGCAAAUCCAGCACGGCCCCCCUCCCUGCCCUGCGAGGGCGGCAGAUCCCCCACGGGGUGCCAGCCCUCCUGCUCUGCUUUCGGCCGUGCCGCCCGUGCCGGAGGCUUGGCAGGGCCGGCGCUGGAGCCGAGGGAGGGAUACGCAGCCAAAGGCACGAGGGCUCGGACCGCGCUGCCCCGCGACGCUGCGCCCGGGCUCGCUGCAGCGCUGCCUCUCCAGCCGCCCCGUGCCCAGCUCCACCCCCCCGUCCAGGGGCUCUGCCCUCCCCACGGAGCCGCAACCCUCAGCGAGAAAUUCCCGGCUAUUUGAAGCACAAUAACAGGAAAAUUCGAGGCAAUCUCUCCGUAAAUUGCACCUAAUUGCAGUAUCGAUGGGGAUGUCUGCGGCCGGGGUGARCAACGCUCAGCGCGGCGGGGGCGAGCGGGGCCGGGCGUGCGAAUGCGCCCGUGCGCGUGCGUGCACACGCGGGCAGCCGUGCGGGUGUGCAAAUGCACACAGACAGCUGUGCACGGGCUGUUGUGCGGGUGUGCAAAUGCACACGCGGGCAGCCGUGCGGGUGUGCAAAUGCACACAGACAGCUGUGCAUGGGCUGUUGUGCGGGUGUGCAAAUGCACACGCGGGCAGCCGUGCGGGUGUGCAAACACACACACACGAGCAGUCACGCAGGUGUGCAAAUGCAUGCAAUCGCCGCAGCCGGGCCGUGCAGAGCUGCUCGCUGCCGCGGACAAGCCGAGGUCUCGCGCGCCCCCGCCGCGGACCCACGUGCGCAGGAGCCCAGGAUGUCAGCGCUGCCGGUCGGACGGACGGCRCUGCACAUAAGAGCAAUCGGAGAUCUUCCCAGGCUGCAAAACGGAGGAGUCUCCGUGGAGCCGUAAUUCCUCGCUCUCCGUUAAACGCUGUUGUUUAAUAGGCCUGUAACAAAACCCUGGUUUUUAGCGAGCUGGAUAUGUUUCACCAACGCGUGCGCGGUCGUGCACGGAGGAGCCGUGCAGACAUGGCCGCGCGCCCGUGCCGCUGCGCGCUCCGGCCCCCUCCGCGGCAGAGCCUCCGGCAGCAGCUGGCUCCGCUCUCUCCUAAUUGAAAACGUCCUUUUGCAAUUACCCGACUGGCAGGGCUGGCGGAGGCGAUCGAUGCGGAGGGAGCCGAGYGCCUCUGCCUGCAGGCUGUGCUUGAAAAAUCACUCUCUCGCCCAGUUUCGGGCUUCUCUUUUGCRCGGAGGGAGCUGCGCGAGCAGGGGCCGGCUGGUGUCAGGCAGCCUCCGCCAAAUCCGCCGGACAGGCACCGGGUCCGCUCCAGGGAACCGCGGCAUGGCGGAGAUCUGCUCUGCAUCCCACCAGGAGGGACCCUGGCACCYGGGCUCCCCGGGAAGGGCCCCUCCAGCCGGCAGGGAGCGGGUCUGGGG